GUACACUCCUGCGGGAGGCAGCAGUGGGGAAUAUUGGACAAUGGGCGCAAGCCUGAUCCAGCCAUGCCGCGUGAGUGAUGAAGGCCCUAGGGUUGUAAAGCUCUUUCACCGGUGAAGAUAAUGACGGUAACCGGAGAAGAAGCCCCGGCUAACUUCGUGCCAGCAGCCGCGGUAAUACGAAGGGGGCUAGCGUUGUUCGGAUUUACUGGGCGUAAAGCGCACGUAGGCGGACUAUUAAGUCAGGGGUGAAAUCCCGGGGCUCAACCCCGGAACUGCCUUUGAUACUGGUAGUCUUGAGUUCGAGAGAGGUGAGUGGAAUUCCGAGUGUAGAGGUGAAAUUCGUAGAUAUUCGGAGGAACACCAGUGGCGAAGGCGGCUCACUGGCUCGAUACUGACGCUGAGGUGCGAAAGCGUGGGGAGCAAACAGGAUUAGAUACCCGUGUAGUCCC
rnacentral:rRNA from 1 species